CCAUGAAGCAUACUCACGGGAUGUUUUGUGAUUUGUUCCGUGAGAAGCAACAGAAUCCGUGAGUUGAUGAUAUUUCCAAUCACCCUGCGUCAUUAUUAAACAUAAGAUGGUCAUCAGGAACCGUUUUCAUUAUUUCACCGUAAACCUCCGUUAAUUCUUCACCAUGGAAUAAAUUAGAGUCGAGUUCCUUCACUAUACUUGGGGAGAUUUCACCUGCAAGAAACAUAAACCAACAUGGAGGACCUCAAUCAAUGGACGAAUUAUGUCAGAGGUAACAACAAAUCAUUGAGUGGAGUAAGAUGGCCAGUGAGUUAGAUCAUUAUACAACGGACCGCAUGUUGUCAAUGUAAUAGUCGGUAGCUCAACUUUAUCUGAUACUUGUUCAUUGGAUGUUCUAACAAUA